rnacentral:rRNA from 1 species
AUUGAACGCUGGCGGCAGGCCUAACACAUGCAAGUCGAGCGGCAGCGGGAAAGUAGCUUGCUACUUUUGCCGGCGAGCGGCGGACGGGUGAGUAAUGCCUGGGGAUCUGCCCAGUCGAGGGGGGAUAACUACUGGAAACGGUAGCUAAUACCGCAUACGCCCUACGGGGGAAAGCAGGGGACCUUCGGGCCUUGCGCGAUUGGAUGAACCCAGGUGGGAUUAGCUAGUUGGUGAGGUAAGGGCUCACCAAGGCGACGAUCCCUAGCUGGUCUGAGAGGAUGAUCAGCCACACUGGAACUGAGACACGGUCCAGACUCCUACGGGAGGCAGCAGUGGGGAAUAUUGCACAAUGGGGGAAACCCUGAUGCAGCCAUGCCGCGUGUGUGAAGAAGGCCUUCGGGUUGUAAAGCACUUUCAGCGAGGAGGAAAGGUUGGUAGCUAAUAACUGCCGGCUGUGACGUUACUCGCAGAAGAAGCACCGGCUAACUCCGUGCCAGCCGCCGCCGUAACAC